rnacentral:lncRNA from 1 species
GUUGAAAAUUCCUGUACGGUGAAUGACGGCAAAAAAGCACUGGCCGUGCUUUUGCCAUCGUUGGCGAGUGCUCGGGCCACGUGCGGCCCGAGGUAGGCACUGCCGAGUCCGCGACGUCGGCCCGACGCCAUUGGGCGACCAGCUGCCGAUGGUCGGCAAGCAGCCCGGCC